rnacentral:rRNA from 1 species
AAAUUGAAGAGUUUGAUCAUGGCUCAGAUUGAACGCUGGCGGCAGGCCUAACACAUGCAAGUCGAGCGGUAGCACAGAGAGCUUGCUCUCGGGUGACGAGCGGCGGACGGGUGAGUAAUGUCUGGGAAACUGCCUGAUGGAGGGGGAUAACUACUGGAAACGGUAGCUAAUACCGCAUAACGUCGCAAGACCAAAGUGGGGGACCUUCGGGCCUCAUGCCAUCAGAUGUGCCCAGAUGGGAUUAGCUAGUAGGUGGGGUAAUGGCUCACCUAGGCGACGAUCCCUAGCUGGUCUGAGAGGAUGACCAGCCACACUGGAACUGAGACACGGUCCAGACUCCUACGGGAGGCAGCAGUGGGGAAUAUUGCACAAUGGGCGCAAGCCUGAUGCAGCCAUGCCGCGUGUGUGAAGAAGGCCUUCGGGUUGUAAAGCACUUUCAGCGGGGAGGAAGGCGGUGAGGUUAAUAACCUCAUCGAUUGACGUUACCCGCAGAAGAAGCACCGGCUAACUCCGUGCCAGCAGCCGCGGUAAUACGGAGGGUGCAAGCGUUAAUCGGAAUUACUGGGCGUAAAGCGCACGCAGGCGGUCUGUCAAGUCGGAUGUGAAAUCCCCGGGCUUAACCUGGGAACUGCAUUCGAAACUGGCAGGCUAGAGUCUUGUAGAGGGGGGUAGAAUUCCAGGUGUAGCGGUGAAAUGCGUAGAGAUCUGGAGGAAUACCGGUGGCGAAGGCGGCCCCCUGGACAAAGACUGACGCUCAGGUGCGAAAGCGUGGGGAGCAAACAGGAUUAGAUACCCUGGUAGUCCACGCCGUAAACGAUGUCGAUUUGGAGGUUGUGCCCUUGAGGCGUGGCUUCCGGAGCUAACGCGUUAAAUCGACCGCCUGGGGAGUACGGCCGCAAGGUUAAAACUCAAAUGAAUUGACGGGGGCCCGCACAAGCGGUGGAGCAUGUGGUUUAAUUCGAUGCAACGCGAAGAACCUUACCUGGUCUUGACAUCCACAGAACUUUCCAGAGAUGGAUUGGUGCCUUCGGGAACUGUGAGACAGGUGCUGCAUGGCUGUCGUCAGCUCGUGUUGUGAAAUGUUGGGUUAAGUCCCGCAACGAGCGCAACCCUUAUCCUUUGUUGCCAGCGGUCCGGCCGGGAACUCAAAGGAGACUGCCAGUGAUAAACUGGAGGAAGGUGGGGAUGACGUCAAGUCAUCAUGGCCCUUACGACCAGGGCUACACACGUGCUACAAUGGCAUAUACAAAGAGAAGCGACCUCGCGAGAGCAAGCGGACCUCAUAAAGUAUGUCGUAGUCCGGAUUGGAGUCUGCAACUCGACUCCAUGAAGUCGGAAUCGCUAGUAAUCGUAGAUCAGAAUGCUACGGUGAAUACGUUCCCGGGCCUUGUACACACCGCCCGUCACACCAUGGGAGUGGGUUGCAAAAGAAGUAGGUAGCUUAACCUUCGGGAGGGCGCUUACCACUUUGUGAUUCAUGACUGGGGUGAAGUCGUAACAAGGUAACCGUAGGGGAACCUGCGGUUGGAUCACCUCCUUA